rnacentral:rRNA from 1 species
GAAUGUAUGAGAAUACUACUUGGAUAACCGUAGUGAUUCUAGAGCUAAUACAUGCAACGACGCCCGACCGUUUCACUACGGAAGGGCUGUAUUUAUUGGAUACCAGAACCAUCCUUCCCUCGGGAAGUUUUGUUUGAUGAUUCACAAUAACUGAUCGGAUCGCCACUGUGGUGGCGACAGGUCGUUCAACAUUCUGCCCUAUCAGCUUUCGAUGGUUGUGUAGUGGACAACCAUGGCCAUAACGGGUAACGGAGAAUCAGGGUUCGAUUCCGGAGAAGGAGCUUGAGAAUUGGCUACUACAUCUAAGGAAGGCAGCAGGCGCGCAAAUUACCCAAUCCCGAUUCGGGGAGGUAGUGACAAAAAAUAACAAUACCGGGCCUUUUUGGGCUUGGUAAUUGGAAUGAGGGAGAGUUAAACGGACCAUCGAGUAUCCAUUGGAGGGCAAGUCUGGUGCCAGCAGCAGCGGUAAUACCAGCUCCAAUAGCGUAUAUUAAAGUUGUUGCAGUUAAAAAGCUCGUAGUUGGACUUGUGUGCGCUGUCCGCGGGUGGCCUGCGCCCAAAAGGGCGUUUCGGUUCGGCCCCGGUGGCGCCUUGAAAUCUGCAGCUGGGGGGACGUUGGCCUUAACUGGUCGGCGACCGCACGCCGGCUGCUCGGUUACUGUGAGAAAAUUAGAGUGUUCAAGGCAGGCAUUGGGUGCAAUUGAAUACAUUAGCAUGGAAUAAUAAAAUAUGGCUCCUGCCGUAUUUUGUUGGUUUUGACUGGUGGGAGUAAUGAUUGAUAGGGACGGUUGGGGGUGCUAGUAAUGAGCGGCCAGAGGUGAAAUUCAUGGAUUCGCUCAAGACUAACUUAUGCGAAAGCAUUCACCAAGGACGUCCUCUUUAAUCAAGAACGAAAGUUGGGGGAUCGAAGACGAUCAGAUACCGUCGUAGUCUCAACCAUAAACUAUGUCGACUUGGGAUCGGCGGUAGUUUUUUCAUUAAGACACUGUCGGGACCACGGGAGAAAUCAAAGUGUCUGGACUCUGGGGGAAGUAUGGUCGCAAGGCUGAAACUUGAAGGAAUUGACGGAAGGGCACCACCAGGAGUGGAGCCUGCGGCUUAAUUUGACCCAACACGGGGAAACUUACCAGGUCCAGAGAUGUAGAGGAUUGACAGAUUGAAGCUCUUUCUUGAUCACUUCGGUGGUGGUGCAUGGCCGUUCUUAGUUGGUGGAGUGAUUUGUCUGGUUAAUUCCGUUAACGAACGAGACCUCAGCCUGCUAGUGUAGUCGGCUGGAU